rnacentral:misc_RNA from 1 species
UUUGAUAUUUUCUUCUAAAUUAAACCACACAAUUAAAGAUAUGAGCAAGUCACAUUCCUAACAUUAGAAGGCAUAAAAGCUAAGAUCAUAAGAACAACAAGAAUGAAAAUUGGGACUAACAACAACAUAAAAGGUGGUGGUGGCAAUGGUGGAAGCAUCAAUGGCAAAAGUAACAAAGAUGCUGUAAGACCAAGUAACAAAAUAAUUGACUCUAAGCUAAAAUAAUUCAUUGACAACAUUUUCUUGCCAUGUCCUUGUGUAAAUGAUCUCUUAUGCUCCAUCUUAUUGCCUUCCAUAAUGUUGUUGAAAUAUUGUUGAUGUUCCUCCAAAUUAAUAAACCCUUUUGAUGAUCUCAAUUUUGCCUCUGAUGAUUCCAUGUCCAUGUUCAUUACUAGUCGUACGCUCUUACUCAGAAGUCUCGAGUUUUAAUUUGGAACCAAUCUUGAAACUUAGAGAAGGAUAUGAGUUUUUCAACCAAUCUUGAAAUUUCCUAAGAAUCUUGAUGUGAGGUUUUGAAUUCGAGACCUGAAUAUGAAGUCGUUCUGAGGAAUAUUGAG